GUGAGCUCCAGCCAUCAAUUCCCAGCAUAGCAAGCAAAAUAGAAGACAAGCAUGAGAAGAAGCUGAAGUCUGUAGAUGCUGAUACCCAUGAUCACCUUGCCAGCCUGUGUCUCAUGGGCUAUGAGUGCCCCGCAGGAAUGAAAAGAAUCCUUCAUCAAUAGCUUCCUGCCCCCAAAUCAGCACUGCUCUGCACUCCUCAGCAAAUAGCACUGACACUAAACUUACUGACAGCUGCUUCCCCAAUGUAGGCUUCUGUUGGGACAACCUUCAGGACCAGGGGCUGAGCCUCGAAUAGGCAAAGGCCAUGGAUUCAGAAUAUCAAGAACAAGAAACGGGUGGAGGACCACACCAGCAAGAGAUGCACAAUCCCUAAAUGUUUCCACCAUGGUGUGACACAGUCAAGAAAUUCUUUCUAGAAGUUACAUUAUGCUUUUUUGAUAUUCAGCUUCUGAAACAGUGAAAUAAUUAAAUGUUUUCUCUAUAUAACUUA
ensembl:antisense Gm11339 predicted gene 11339